rnacentral:rRNA from 1 species
UACGUAGGGUGCGAGCGUUAAUCGGAAUUACUGGGCGUAAAGCGUGCGCAGGCGGUUUUGUAAGCCAGAUGUGAAAUCCCCGGGCUCAACCUGGGAAUGGCAUUUGGAACUGCAAGGCUGGAGUACGGCAGAGGAGACUGGAAUUCCUGGUGUAGCAGUGAAAUGCGUAGAUAUCAGGAGGAAUACCGAUGGCGAAGGCAGAUCUCUGGGCCGUAACUGACGCUGAGGAGCGAAAGCGUGGGGAGCGAACAGG